UUUUUGGAGCAGAUGAUGAAUAAGUUUGCUAAUAUAGAAGGUAUGAUCACUGUGAAGACAGAUCAUAAAUUACUGUUUUCACAAUUUAAGGUAAAAAUAAUAGUCAAGUUAUAGUAAUUGGGACAAAGUAGAGGAAGAACAACCUUUGCAGAGAGGAUUAAGAGUUCUGUUUGAACGCUGUAAUUUUUAAAUGCCUACUUUAUAUCCUAGGGAGUAUGUUAAUUAAAUAUCUACAUGUGUGAAUUGAGGGUUGUGGAGCAGAGGAUAAGUUUUAUGAUAUAAGGCUCUGACCUCUAUGGAGACACACCAUAAACUAUUGCUCUCAUUAUGUUAAAUUAAAAACAUUUCGCAAGUUCUAAUAUAUUGGUCAAGUGUUUGAUAGGAGUGUAUAUGAAUGUCUUUAAUUUUAAUUGAUAACCAGUGAUUGCAAUGUGCUGCCAAUGUAUUUGGUCAGUAUUCAGUUUAUUUCUGUAAUUCUCAUGGUAUCUCUAGGUCAGAGAACUUGCCUGAACCAUCACCACUGCAGAUGUCUAACACAAUACCAACUCUGAUACCCACACCACCAACAAAAGAAACCGAGAACUUGAUAAGCCAACACCACCAGACAGAUCUAAUUGGAAAUCUGUGUGUUGUACAGUCAUCAUCAGAAGAGCAACCUCCCGCUGGAUGGGAACAACUAUAGAGACUCACAGAUGUUAAACAGAGAGUGGGUAACCUUGAAACACUCAGUGCUGAAUCGAAUGUCUCCAUCAAACUCAUUCCUUCCUCACAGCUCAGGAAACCCUGCAGAAGAGGAGGUGAAAAGAGCCUAAGAGGCAGAGCAGACAGAGGAGGACACCACAAAAACAAGACCUUCUAUUUUUUUUUUCUUUCCGUUUUUGAGACAGGGUUUCUCUGUGUAACCUUGGCUAUCCUGGAACUCUUUGGAGACCAGGCUGGGCUUAAACUCACAAAGAUAAGCCUGUCUCUGCCUCUUGAGUGCUGAGAUAUGAUGGGUGUGUGAUACCACCGCCUGCCAAGGCCUUCUGAAUUAGCAUGAGCAAAGCUCAAAUGAACUCAGAGACUGAAGGAGCAUGCUCAGCGACUAUACAUAGUAUCUGCCCCAGAUCCUUUGCAGACAUAUUAUGGUUCCUAGUUUAGUGUUUCCAUGAGAUUCCAUUAGUGCAAACAAAUGAGUUUAUGAUUUGUGUGCCUUCUCUUGACCUCACUUUCUUCUGUUACUUGUCCAACUUCGAAGUGAUAGUAUUUGUUUUAUUUUAUUAUAUUUUGAGAAAAGUGAAUUAGUGAGUAAAUGAAAGACUAGCUAUUAAGGGAAAAGGGAAUGCUAAGCUGCCAUUUACACCUUCUGGCAAAGGGAAGAGCAGUUUUUCCAAUAGAGUAACCCUGGGUAUAUCAACCAUUCUCUAGAAGCCUCAUGUUCAGGAACUGACCAACCAAUAAUGGACUCCAUACUUUUGUUUGUUUUUUGUUGAUAGUUAUUCUGCAUGCUUUAAUUAGGUUACAGUUUGUGGGGGGUUUUGUUUUGUUUUGUUUUGUUUGUAGGGAUGUGCUUGGGGUGUUGUUUUUUGUUUUCUUGGAUUUUGUUUUGCAUUGGCUUUUUGUUUAUUUUUUGAAAAAGAACUUAAAGUUGGUUGGGUAGGAGGGGGUUGAGAACCUGAAUGGACUUCAGAGAGUGGAAGAAUAGAAUCAAAAUAUGUUUUAAUUUAAAAUUGUUUUUAAACAAUAAAAAUAAUAGAAAAUUAUUACAAAAUCUGAGAAAAUAAUUUAGGUUUGGGCUACAUAUUUUAUUCUACAAUUGUUCAAAUUGUGUACUUGCCACUUAUAAACCUUAUAUAAGACCCCUUCAACUUAAAAUGUCUUUAAAAUAAUACACUAAGAUGAAAACUUUCAUAAAAGACAACACUGAAUUCAGAUUAUUCAAUAAUUUUAAAACAUUAAUUUUUUUCAUGCUGGAAUGAUGGUCCAGCAGUUAAGAGCAUUUUGUAUUCUUCUAGAAGACUCAGGUUUGAUUCCCAGCACCCACAGGCAGUCUCAGUUACCGUGUGUAAUUCCCAGGAGAUCCAAUGCCUUCUUUUGGACUAUACAUGUGCCAAGGAUUUAUAUGUUAUACCUCUUUUGAAGGUUUUAGAAUUUUCUUCUGUUAAUUUAAUCUCACUUUUACUUGGGUCUAUAACAUGCCUUUCCUCGAAUACUUGUUUGGCAUUCCAGAAAUCUUCUAGUCUUCUUAAUAUGUAUAUUUAGUGUUUUAUCUACUAACAAUAUUCAUUUUUUACGAUGCCACUCUCAAUUUUUCUUGCUAUAGAACUUCUAAGGUACA
ensembl:lncRNA